rnacentral:rRNA from 1 species
ACGAACGCUGGCGGCGCGCCUAACACAUGCAAGUCGCACGAGCGAGAGAGAGCUUGCUUUCUCAAGCGAGUGGCGAACGGGUGAGUAACGCGUGAGGAACCUGCCUCAAAGAGGGGGACAACAGUUGGAAACGACUGCUAAUACCGCAUAAGCCCACGACCCGGCAUCGGGUAGAGGGAAAAGGAGCAAUCCGCUUUGAGAUGGCCUCGCGUCCGAUUAGCUAGUUGGUGAGGUAACGGCCCACCAAGGCGACGAUCGGUAGCCGGACUGAGAGGUUGAACGGCCACAUUGGGACUGAGACACGGCCCAGACUCCUACGGGAGGCAGCAGUGGGGAAUAUUGCACAAUGGGGGAAACCCUGAUGCAGCGACGCCGCGUGGAGGAAGAAGGUCUUCGGAUUGUAAACUCCUGUUGUUGAGGAAGAUAAUGACGGUACUCAACAAGGAAGUGACGGCUAACUACGU